GACGAACGCUGGCGGCGUGCCUAAUACAUGCAAGUUGAGCGCUGAAGGUUGGUACUUGUACCGACUGGAUGAGCAGCGAACGGGUGAGUAACGCGUGGGGAAUCUGCCUUUGAGCGGGGGACAACUUUUGGAAACGAGUGCUAAUACCGCAUAAAAACUUUAAACACAAGUUUUAAGUUUGAAAGAUGCAAUUGCAUCACUCAAAGAUGAUCCCGCGUUGUAUUAGCUAGUUGGUGAGGUAAAGGCUCACCAAGGCGAUGAUACAUAGCCGACCUGGGAGGGUGAUCGGCCACAUUGGGACUGAGACACGGCCCAAACUCCUACGGGAGGCAGCAGUAGGGAAUCUUCGGCAAUGGACGAAAGUCUGACCGAGCAACGCCGCGUGAGUGAAGAAGGUUUUCGGAUCGUAAAACUCUGUUGGUGGAGAAGAACGUUGGUGAGAGUGGAAAGCUCAUCAAGUGACGGUAACUACCCAGAAAGGGACGGCUAACUACGUGCCAGUAGCCGCCGUAA
rnacentral:rRNA from 1 species